rnacentral:snoRNA from 1 species
GAGUCAUUUCAAAGAGGACUUAGGGAGCUGUGAAACCAGGAAUUUUAGAGGCAGUGACCAAAGGUUGGAGUACCGUAGGACCCUAUGGUCACCCAG